AAAGCACAGCAGCACCGGUUAAACUGCAGAACGGGUGACUUGUGGCCAGUUUAGCACAACAUAAAAUGCUAGCUGGUUACCUUUGUUAUGUCCACAGAUCGUACGCGACAUUAACAGAACACCAGUGCAGAUCAACAUGGCAGCCUACAUGUCCGUCCUUUUUUUUCGUGAAUAAAAGUAGGAAAUUACGUGUUCUUUUUUAGCUUUCUCGUCCUGACUUCGCAGCAGUGAGUCACCCACUGUUCUAAACAACGGCAAAUUUGUUUCGGACAGAUGGGAGUUUGUGUUGACAAGUCUUGGAACUUUGCGAUCUUCUGAUUGGCUGUACAACACCUAACCAACUACGUAUCUACUCAGCACAAGGGAUCAUGCUGAUUUGGUAUCUACCAGAGUACAGAUCAGUAUUUCUGAACCAGGGUUGCAAGAUGGAGCAUCACAUUCCAAAAGCACACAUGCUAGUUGAGUGAUGAGCCCUUUCUGUGGUGACCAGAUGACGAAGCAGAUGGACAACUACUUGAUGCUGGACAAAUGCUCAUCCUGUGGAGCUAUCAAGAUUAUUAACCCCUACCUCCCCAACUCAUGAUCCAUCCCCUUAUUUGGGGGAUUUUGGUAGGCAAGCCGCGAGUACCAAGUCCAUCAAAAUCCACUGUAGUGGUGGUCUUAUUCCGAAAGCAUUAUGUGAAGUUGGGUCAGUGAUGGAUUUUGGAGGACAUGGUCCAGUACUUAGACACUAGGUAUCAGCACUGCAAGUCCAUUAACCUUAAAUUCUUAGAUGUUUUGUGACAGCUCCAAGUUUUGCCAUAUGAAUUUAACAAAAAGUCAACCCCUAAUCUGUAAUAUCUUAAUCUGUAAUAUCUUAUAGCAAACUUGAAUCUGUCAUGAUGGACAAUUACUAUACGAACCUCUGUUAUAAUGGCAUUUUACCCCAUAUUAAUAAAAUGUAUGUAAAAUGAACCUUUAAAAAGUAUCCUAACGUGACAUUAUACAUUUCGAUGGUGUUUCAAACUGUGAUGUUCAUUAAUAAUAAUAAUGUUUAGAAUAAUUUAUUGUUAUCAAGACCAUGUAUGUACACUUUUGAUUCAAUGCAAUAGUUCUCAAAUAAACGACGAAUGAAAUUA